rnacentral:lncRNA from 1 species
GACGCCGGGGGUCGCCCAGAGGUAGGACGCGGCGGCGAGGGCAAGCGCGACGCCGGGGGCCGUGAUGGUGAGCCCGUCGUUCCGGGGGAGCGUGCUGCGGUAGAUGACGUCGCCGCACUGCAUGACGGUGCAGGGGAGCCCCACGCCCACCGCCUCCACCAGCUGCCGCCCCAGCUCCGUCGCGACGCCGCCGAGCUCCGCCGUCACCGGCCGGAACGAGGCGGCCGCGGGGCUCGCCGGCCGCCGGCGCCGGCGCCGGAGGAGGGUGUCGUGGCCGGGGAGGAAGGAGGUGGCGAGGCCAAGG